rnacentral:tRNA from 1 species
GUGGAUAUAGCUCAGUGGUAGAGUGUGUGCUUAGCAUGCACAAGGUCCUAGGUUCAAUCCCCAGUACCUCUU